rnacentral:lncRNA from 1 species
CAUUGUAUAAUUUGGUAACUAAAACUCAACAUCUAAAAGGAAUUUUCACAAUUAGCGCCAGUGAAUGUUGAAUCCAAUUUUGCUAUUUAUCAAUUGGGCUCUGAGUUUUGAUGAAAGAAUUCACGAAUCUUGUGAAACAGGGACAAAAAAAAUAUAUUUGUUUUACCAUGUAUAGCAAUGGGAAGCAAGUACUAAAAUGGGAGUUUUGCUGAUAGCACUUUCUCCUUUGGAAUUGUUUUAAUAGUAGCUCACAAUACGUAUUGCCAAUUUUAUUUGGGUUUUCUUGAUAAGAAAUAGCGCACUCUCGUUGUAUUUUUGAAAUGUGGAAAGCCCUAUUUUUAAUCAAUAGGUCUCUACGUUUUUGGUAACCAAUGUUGUAUUUUUUCCAAAGAGGCAAUCUGCUAGGAUAAAUUUCUGAGCCUUUGUUGCCAGAAAUUUUACCCUUGUAUUAACCUCUUGAUUUCUUUCUUAAAAGCUUCUUUUAUAUGAAGGUGGAUGCAGUUGUUUACCUGGUGGAUUCUUAUGACAAGGAGAGAUUUGCAGAAUCGAAAAAAGAAUUGGAUGCUCUCCUCUCAGAUGAGGCUUUGGCCAAUGUUCCAUUCCUUGUCUUAGGCAACAAAAUUGAUAUACCAUAUGCAGCCUCAGAAGAUGAGUUGCGUUACCACCUGGGCUUGACCAACUUCACCACUGGCAAGGGUAAUGUGAACUUGGGAGACUCAAAUGUUCGUCCCAUGGAGGUAUUCAUGUGUAGUAUUGUUCGAAAAAUGGGCUAUGGAGAUGGUUUCAAGUGGCUUUCUCAGUAUAUCAAGUAGUGAGGUAUGGGGUAUUAAGUCCUAUUAAGUUCAUAAUGAGACUUGAAAAGCGACUCAUGAUUCGCGUUAUGAAUUGUAUUGAAAAGAUGCUUGUGAUUUCUUUCUUUGUCGCUUGCAUGUAUUUCAAAUGGUUUUCACUUUCUUCUUCCCCAGCAACUCAAUGGCUCUCAUCCAGUCUCUGAUGAGAUGAUUAUCUGUCGCCCUGAACCAAAUUCUUGAUGAAAAAAGAAAAGAAAAGAAAAGAAAGUAAAUGUAAUAGCAAUUCUCAUUCGGUUUAUGGUAGAUUAGAAAACAACUAUAUUGAUUUCAUUUAUUUUUGCAUUAUUCCUAAUUUUGGUACAGGCCAUUAGAUUAAAUUUUGUUGCAAGGUUUUAGAUGGUUAAAGAUUUGGACAGUUCCGGCUCCAUUUUGGAAUGAGAGAACAAUGGCCUUUAAUAGAAAAUGACUAGGAUAUCGUUGACCAUCAGAUUCUGGUCAUUCUGUACCUUUUUUUUUUUCUCCAAGUCAUUCUGUACUUUAAUUAACACAAAAUCAUCUUUCGAUUUUUUUAUUUUAAAUUAAUCAUUCAAAUUAUUUCAAAAAAAAAAAUUAAAAUAAAUGUAGUUGUAAAUUCAAAAAACUCAUAAGUUUAUCAUCAAGUCAUUUUUUUAAAAGAAGAAAAGAAAAGAGCACCAUACAUAAAGAAUAAAAAAAAAUCAGUUAUAUCAACAUCUUUGACACAGCUCUUCUAAAUUGAAUUCAGGAUUGGAUAAAAUUAUAGACCAUAUUGAAAAUUUGAACUAUUAUGCUAAGAUUUAAAGAAUUAGAUUAAAGCCUCAAAAUACACAAAUAUUUGACCUUUUAAUACAGGGAUCAGAAUGCUAAACCCUGCUUUCCUGAGAAUUCUAUUUCACACUUGCAGAAUUAAGAUCAGGAUAUUUGCUCUUGAAAUUCAGAUUCAAUCAAUUCAUCAUCACAAACUAUCCAACUGAACUUUGCCCUGCCGCUUUCUCGACGCUCCUCUCUUUCAUUGUUCUUACCUCCUCAACUUUGUCCCAUCUCUCUUCUUCAGCAUAUAUAUUUGAUAACAACACACAAUUUUACCAGAAUUCCAUGGUAUGCCUCCCUUGCCCACCCACUAUGCCCAAGAAGAUCAACCAGGCAUCCAUAGUGCUCAAGCUUUGAAACAAUUUGGUGAUUUUCAGUCAUUGAAGCAAACAAUUUCCUCCCCCUUUCUACCAACCCUGCAUGAGCACGACAUGAUAAAACCCCUACAAACGAUGCGUUCGUUUGUCAUCUCCUCAAACAAGUCUACCCCAGAUUGACCUUUCCCAUUAAAAGCCAUAGCUGAGAUCAUCACGUUCCAAGAAAUCACAUUCUUUUGAGGCAUCUCAUUAAAUUGUUUUUUAGCAGUCUCCAAAAGGCUACAUUUACUGUAAAAAUCCACCAAAGCGUUGCCCACGGAUACAGAAUUUCUAAAAAAUCCGCUUGACUCGGCAUAAGACUGAAUCCACUGCCCCACUUCAACAGCUCCCAGACGAACACAGAAAGGCAAAACUACGACCAGAGUUGCCUCGUCUGGCUUGAAACCCUGAUCCUGCAUUUCAUGAAAAAGCUACAAAGCUUCGCUAUCCCGCCCACUUUGUGCCAAGCAAGAAAUUAUGGUAUUCCAAGAAACAACACUCCGUUCACUCAUCUGCCAGAACAAAUGAAGACCCAUAUCAAAAUCUCCUCCCUUACAAUACCCACGAAUCAUUAAAUUCCAGACAACGACAUCCAUGUCACGCAUUUCAUCAAACACUUUUUUAGCAUCCUCCAUUAUCCCACAAGUUGUGUACAGCUCAACAACCCCAAUUCGUAUCGAACUAAAACAAUGAAACCCAACGACUAUAACUUCCUUAUGAACACACCGACCAAGUUUAAGGUUGCAAAGAUUCGAACAAGGCUUGAGCAGAGGCGCAAAAGUGUACUCAUCAGGCCAAAUGCCUCCAUUUUUCAUAUAGGAAAACAAAUUGAAAGACUCUCCCAACGGUCCACAUAGAGUGUAACCUUUGAUCAUGGAAUUAAAGAGCAAUAGACUAGUUGUUCGGAUUGCGAGAAAAUGUGAUGCGCAUAGGCCAUUUUGUUAUAUAUAUAUAUAACCUCUUAAUAAAAUAAAAUGGUGUAAUUUAAAAUUCAUAAUUUAUAAUAAGAUUAAAUUCAAAUUUUAAUUUCAAAUAUUGCAUUAAAUAAUUCAAUAUUUUGUGCAAAAAUUGGUGAUAUUUGAUGUAAAUUUCAUCCAAUUAUUUAAAAUUACUUAGCCGCAAGUAAAAUUUGUGGAGUAAUUUUAGAGUAAAACGAACAUAUAACAAUUUAAUUAAAUUGGAUGAAAUUAAAAAAUUAAAUUUUAUAAAAUAUAUAGAAAUUUUAAUUAAAUAAUUUUAAAAUAUUAGCUUUUAUUUUAUUCUACAUCUCGUAAUUUAUUUUGUAAAUAAUAGAAUUUUAAUUUAUAUAUAACUUAUUUUUAUGUAAUUUUAUAUAAAAAAUAAAAUAAAAUUAGAAUUUAAGUAUAUGAAUCAUAAUCUUAAAUUUUAAAUUUUUAUUAAUUUUUAACUAAAAUUAAUUUAACAAUAAAAAAAUUUCUCCCCCUAAUAUAUAGUAUAGAUAAAUUAUAAAAAUUAAAAAUAUUUAAGUGGAAUAAUUUUUAAAUUAUUAAUUCACUAAAAAUUUAGUAAUUUUAUAUACUUCUUAUUUUAAUACGUUUAUUUCAUUAAUAUUUUUAAUAUUCAUAAAUAAUAUUUAACUUCUUAUUUAAUUUAUACUUUAAAAAUAUGAAUUUAUUAUUUUAAUAACCUUCUUAAUAUUUAUUUAAUAUCUAAAUAUGUUAUUUUAAUAAUUUUUAUUUUAAAAUUAAUUUAAUAGUAUUUAAAUUAAUUUAAACCUUUACUCUAGAUUUUCUUAAUAAACUCUAAAAUUAUUUUAAAAUAAUAAAAUUAUAAUCUAAUAUAUAUUCUUAUUUAAAAAAUUUAAUCUUAUUAUAUAUCUUUUAAAAUUUUUUUAAUUAACUCAAAUUAAUUUAAAAAUAUAAUUAUAAUCUAUUUUAAAAAUUAAAUUUUAAUAAUAUAAUUAUUAACUAUUUAAAUAAUUAAAUUAAUUAAUUUAAAGAUAUUAUAAACCAUCUUAUUAUUCUUCACUUUUUCCUUAUAUAUAUAUAAAUAAAUAAAUAAUUUUUUUAAAAAUUCAGAGCUCAUAAUAAUUAAAACAAAAAAAAAAAAAGAGAAAAAUUUUUCGGAUGCCAUCAUUCUGCCUUGAAAGCGCCAGCCAGCUAAAGAAAACAACCAAUUAAUGGCUUUCCCACCAAACACCCUCCCGGAAAUACCUAUAAGAUAAUCGCAUCCGUCCAUUCCACAAUCAACGGUCAAUAUCCCUCCAAUGACGACAACUACCCCAAUUCUCAAUCUCUGAUUGGUCAAAGCAACUCAGUCCGGUAACCCGACCCACCGAAAACCAAUCUCAACCAGGUUAGCCAAUAAAUUCUUACCAGCUCACACUCACAGCACUGUCUUCUACACACAUAUCAUUCCACUUGUGUAUAUAUAUAUAUACAUGUAAGCAUUUGCAAGAUCAUUGUGUGUAGGUUUUUGCUCUGUAAUUUCUGCGUUAUCUCUCUCUAGAUUCUUUUUUGACCAAUCGAUUAUACAAUCGAGAGGUUUCUGGCUUUCAUAGGGUUAAUCUGGCUGCUUUUGGUGGCUAAUUUUGGGAUAAUUAGCUUUCUUCUACACUAGUUCAAUCAUGUUUUUACUUGAUUGGUUCUAUGGAGUGCUAGCUUCGCUCGGUUUAUGGCAGAAGGAAGCCAAGAUCUUGUUUCUAGGUCUUGAUAAUGCCGGAAAAACGACGCUGCUUCACAUGUUGAAGGAUGAGGUACACGAUAGAUUGUUAGUUUCUUUAUUGGUCUGUUUGGCUGGGGAGUAAAUGGAGGACGAUAAAAUUUUAUGAAACUUUAUUUUGUGGGGUAGAUUCUUUAGCUGAAGAAUUGAAUUCUCUAACUAGUUGAAGUCAUAUAGCUUAAUUUUGAUGUGUUUGUAAAUGACAAUUAUGCUGAUUAAUUAUAAUUCAGAGGGAAGUAGAGAAUGAAUUGGGUUUUUUAAGGAUAUUUUCAUCCUUUUAAUUGGGGUUAGAAGAAAACAAACAAACUAUGGGCAUAAAAGAGCCAAAGUUUACUUGUCAAAUUGAGACUAUAGAGAAAUUGAUGUUUAUAUAUAGUGAUUAUUGUUUGGGGGAUCGUAAUAUUCUAUCUGAAGAAAGUAAAAUUCAUCCAAUUGGCAUACAAUAACUGUUUACAGGCUCUUGGACAACUUAGGGGAAGCUUUAAAUCUGAACUUUUUCUCUGUCAUGGUCUUUUUGCAGAGAUUAGUCCAACACCAGCCUACACAGUAUCCAACAUCUGAGGAGUUGAGUAUUGGGAAAAUCAAGUUUAAGGCAUUUGAUUUGGGAGGCCAUCAGAUUGCUCGUAGAGUUUGGAAAGAUUACUAUGCCAAGGUUUGUCUCUGUUACUUGAAUUGUAUAAUUUGGUAACUGAGACUCACCAUUUUACAGGAAUUUUCACAAUCAUAGCAAGUGAAUGUUGAAUCCAAUUUUGCUAUUGAUCUUGGGCUUCUGAUUUUGAUGAAGGAGUUCACGAAUCUUGUGAAACAGGGACAAAAAAUAUCUUUGUUUUAUCAUGUAUAGCAAUAGGAGCAAGUACUAAAAUGGGAGUUUGCUGAUAGCACUUUCUCCUUUGGAAUUAUUUUAAUAGUGGCUCACCAUACGUAUUGCCGUUUUAUUUGGUUUUUCUUGAUAAGAAAUAGCGCACUCACGUUGUAUUUUUGAAAUGUGGAAAGCCCUAGUUUUAAUCACUAGGUCUCUACAUUUUUGAUAAUCAAUGUUGUAUUUUUCCCAAAGUGGCAGUCGCCGGAAUAAAUUUCUGAGCCUUAACCUCUUGAUUUCUUUCUUGAAAACUUCUUUUAUAUGAAGGUGGAUGCAGUUGUUUACCUGGUGGAUUCUUAUGACAAGGAGAGAUUUGCCGAAUCAAAAAAAGAAUUGGAUGCCCUCCUCUCAGAUGACGCUUUGGCCAAUGUUCCAUUCCUUAUCCUAGGCAACAAAAUUGAUAUACCAUAUGCAGCCUCAGAAGAUGAGUUGCGGCACCAC